AGCCAGACUCCUACGGGAGGCAGCAGUGGGGAAUAUUGCACAAUGGGGGAAACCCUGAUGCAGCAACGCCGCGUGAGUGAAGAAGUAUUUCGGUAUGUAAAGCUCUAUCAGCAGGGAAGAGAAUGACGGUACCUGACUAAGAAGCCCCGGCUAACUACGUGCCAGCAGCCGCGGUAAUACGUAGGGGGCAAGCGUUAUCCGGAUUCACUGGGUGUAAAGGGAGCGUAGACGGCGACGCAAGCCAGAUGUGAAAGCCCGGGGCUCAACCCCGGGACUGCAUUUGGAACUGUGUGGCUGGAGUGUCGGAGAGGCAGGCGGAAUUCCUAGUGUAGCGGUGAAAUGCGUAGAUAUUAGGAGGAACACCAGUGGCGAAGGCGGCCUGCUGGACGAUGACUGACGUUGAGGCUCGAAAGCGUGGGGAGCAAACAGGAUUAGAUCCCCCCGUA
rnacentral:rRNA from 1 species